rnacentral:rRNA from 1 species
CUUGGUGGAUAAAAAUGAAAAAGUUCUAAAAGAAUUUGCUUAUAUGUAAGCAAAAAAUGAAAAAUUAAGACUUUAAAUAUAAUUCUAGGUAGAAUUUUGAUAAUGACAAAUUUUUAUCUACAUGUCUUGACCAAAUCUUGUGCCAGCAGUCGCGGCAACACAAGGAAGACUAGUGUUAUUCAUCUUUAAUCGGUUUAAAGGGUACCUAGACGGUAAAUUAUGCCUAAUAAGGUACAUUUUUACUAGAGUUAUACAAGGAAGAGGAUGAAAUGUCAGAAUUACCAGAGUAGAGAUGAAAUUUUUUGAUACUGUUAAGACUGGUAAAGGCAAAAGCAAACCUUUAUAUAUUAACUGACGUUGAGGGACGAAGGCUUGGGGAGCAAACAGGAUUAGAUACCCUAAUAGUCCAGGC